rnacentral:rRNA from 1 species
CGGACGGGUGAGUAACGCGUGGGUAACCUGCCUCAUACAGGGGGAUAACAGUUAGAAAUGACUGCUAAUACCGCAUAAGCGCACAGUGCUGCAUGGCUCAGUGUGAAAAACUCCGGUGGUAUAAGAUGGACCCGCGUUGGAUUAGCUUGUUGGCAGGGUAACGGCCUACCAAGGCGACGAUCCAUAGCCGGCCUGAGAGGGUGAACGGCCACAUUGGGACUGAGACACGGCCCAGACUCCUACGGGAGGCAGCAUG